rnacentral:misc_RNA from 1 species
CCUCCUUACUAUUACGUCGAGACGCCCUUGAUGCAGUGCCUACACAGAUUGUUUUGUUUAUUUAUAAAGACUCACUUCGCAAGUGUCGCGAAUAGCUGCUUAAACGGAAGUAACCUUCCUGACAGCCAUUUUGCUCGCUAAAGUGGUAGUUGUUUUUAAAUUAGAAUGCUAAUCAAUAACCUUAUUAUUGAUUAGUGUUUUUUUAUAAUGCACUAAUGUUCUUUAACAAUUUGGAAAGCUGAUAUUAAUAGUAAUCAAUCAAAAGAGUAAUUGAGAAGUCGAAAGACGCACUUUUUACUCCACUUGACUUGAAUUGCUUUGUUAUCGACAGCGCCGUAAGGCGGGUUAAUCGACUUGUUCGGUUAACAAAGAAGAUAGCAAAGGCAUUUCUUCCGAUUAGCUUGUCAUGCAUACAACCAUUACCCC